rnacentral:misc_RNA from 1 species
GAGAGAGAGAGAGAGAGAAAUGGCUUCUUUUCUGUGGACUGUUUGCCUGAGUUUCUUGCUUUUGGCUUCUGGAAGUAGGGGUGCUGCCCCAAGGAAGCCUAUAGAUGUACCUUUUGGUCGCAACUAUGUACCAACGUGGGCUUUUGAUCACAUCAAGUACUUCAAUGGAGGUUCUGAGAUUCAGCUCAUGCUAGACAAGUACACAGGGACUGGCUUUCAAUCCAAGGGCUCUUACUUGUUUGGCCACUUUAGCAUGCACAUAAAGAUGGUUCCAGGGGAUUCUGCUGGAACUGUAACUGCUUUCUAUUUAUCUUCUCAAAACUCUGAGCAUGAUGAGAUAGACUUUGAG